rnacentral:rRNA from 1 species
UACGGAGGGUGCAAGCGUUAUCCGGAUUCACUGGGUUUAAAGGGUGCGUAGGUGGGUCUGUAAGUCCGUGGUGAAAUCUCCGAAGCUUAACUUGGAAACUGCCAUGGAUACUAUAGGUCUUGAAUACCGUGGAGGUGAGCGGAAUAUGUCAUGUAGCGGUGAAAUGCUUAGAUAUGACAUAGAACACCAAUUGCGAAGGCAGCUCACUACACGAAUAUUGACACUGGAGGCACGAAAGCGUGGGGAUCAAACAGG